CCUAAAUGGGUGCAUUUGCUGUCAUUUUAGCUGGCCAAAGGCACCCCCCACCAGCCUCCAAGGGGAUGUCCCCUGUGCUGCCCUGUCCCUCAUAGUACGUCCAUGAGAGCUUGCAGAUGCCUGCACGUACCUCUGCCCCCUGACAUGUCACCAGGUGUUUGCAGCCCCCUGAUUUCCUCCAUCUCCAUUAAUAAUCCUGGAGAUGAGACAAGGUGCUCACCUUCAGCUGCCCAUGUUAUGCACACCUAAACUGAGUGCAGAGGAAUCCCGGCUCCCAUGGGUUUGUGGCAGGCAUGGGAGGGAUCUGAGUCCCAUUCCAGCCAGAGGACAAAAACCCAGCAUGAGAUGCCUCGAGUGAGUCUGCUGAACCCCUUCCAGAGGGUUAAAGGAGGUCUACAACCAUGUCUGGGUGUCCCACCAUCAACUGGCAUGAGAAGAGAAGACUGCUACAGAUAAUUAUUUUUUUGCUAAGAGAAAUGAGCCUAAUGUCAAGAGGUGUUUGUGCCAAGGUGAGGGAGGGAAGCCCAGGGAUCCCUUCAGGCUGUUUGCCAGCAGGUUCCCCUGCAGCCCCAGGGCCAUGUGCAGGGAGCCUGGUGGGGGGCAGAGCAAGGGAGGCCUUGGGCUGGGCCUCUGCUGCUGAGCUGGGCCGGGCUCCUGGGCCCAAGGGGAGCUCCUGGCAAGCGGGCAGCGCUGCACAGAGACAGCUCUGUCCAGGAGCAGCUCCUCUGCACAGCGCAGCAGGCCUGGGGGCACUGCCUGCAGAGACACAGUGCUUAAAGGCAGGCAGAAGUGGCAGCAUGCCCAGAGCUCACUGGGGAAGAAGACUUCGCAGCCCUGCACCCGGUAAGUGUCUGGCUGGAGGGCAAUGCAGCCGCAGUUCGUGGAGGCAGGAGAAGCCGGGGGUGCAGGCAGGGGUGUCCAGGGCUGUGGUGCAGAGCAGGGUCCCUGCUGUGGCCCAGGGGCUGUGUGCCGGGGCAGGGCCUCUGCCGCCUGCCAGGCUCAGCACUCAGCCUGCCCGGGGAGCUGCCCAGGGCGCUGCGGGGAGAAGCUGCGGGUGGAAGGAGCCCCCCCUGGCAGGGCAGGGUCCUGCUGCUGGCGGGAGGCUGCUGCCUGGGGCAGCCUGCUCACAGCUCCACAGCACAACCGGAGUGUAUCCAAGGGGUUUUUUCAAGAGCUGGGAUAUGGUAGGGAAUUUAGACUUCAGUCUCAGCUCUACUGAGCCUUCUGAACUUCCAAUCUUCUCUUCUUUGGCUUGGUGGAAAUACAAACAGAAACAGUUAAUCCAAGAAGUGCCUGAGACUCCAUGAUGAGCUGAGAUGCCAUCAUAAGGAGGGAUAAAAGGAUCCUUUCCUGCCCCUCAGC
rnacentral:lncRNA from 1 species